UACACGGAAAGAAAACAUAAAUCCUGGAGAAAUUUGCAAAGAUCAAGCCCAAUCAGUGCCAGUGGAACCGAUAUUUAAAAAUAAAAGGAUUAGAUGUUAUAUGUGGAAUGAAGAUUUGCCUUCUGGUAUGCAACAGCCCGAUGCAACACUACGCCCAAUAUUUCCUGGCAAAGUAACACAGAUCCCUAUUAAAGACAGAUCCGUGGAUAAAUUUUAAGAGAACUACAUAUUCUUGGAAGUCCAGCCUAAAGACCAGAAAGGGAAGUUUGCUAUAAGCAAGCUUUG